CAACAAACCAUUUAAUAUCAACUGAACCAUGAGCAGUGAAAGCUGAGGCUCCCCUGCUAUCCCAUUGAGAAGAGGGAGCAUCAAAGCUGCUCAUGCUCAGGGGACUGAGACUUCUCUUAGAGCAGCACCUCAUCUCUGGGUUAACUACCUUGUAAUGCAAAUCCUGAGGACACAGCUCAUCUGGAUACAAAAACUCAGUUUUCUCAAGGAGGCACCUGUUUGGGUGGGCAAGCAGCUGCCUCAGCAAAUGGCCACUGUGCUCUGGAAGUAGCUGCCAUGGGGGAGAUGAGCAAUGGGCAAAGGUCUCUGGAAGAAGGCAAUUCCUUCCUUGCAUGAGCAGAGCCUAUGGUGCAGCACAUUCCCAGGUUGGGCUGCCAUGUCUGGGUCGUGUCAGGCUCUGUGCACAACUCGCUGCCAUCCAGCAGUGCUGCAAGGCUGCUCAUAUUCCCCACCAAGCUGCAGGUUUUUAGCACAGUUUUAGUUACUCAUCUUUGAAAAGUGUGUCCUGUGUGAUUGAGCUGAUCAGAAAUUCAAAUCCCUCCUCAUGCAGACCUAGAUACUGCUCCCUUUGCUUACUCUGAAAGAUUUUUGUGCCAGUGAUCCCUGCAGCUGUACGCAUCUUGAUGACUGAAGCUUUUCUAGUAUUCUCCUAUUCAGGUCCUCAGAAUACAAACUACCCUUUUACUCCCUCGGAAUUUACAAGAUCUACAUCACUGUUGCAAACCACAGAAAGCAAUCACUUCCCUCCCUGGCCAGUUCUUCAUGCUGAUGGACUCUCCUGCUGUCCACCCUUCACCUCCCAGUUUGAAUUUCUCAGUCCUGGAAACUCCUUUCUGGAAGCUCCUGACAGGGCUGUGUUUUCUUGCAGUGAUAUCAUUACAAGUUCCUUGAACAUUGAUUUAAAAUAGUAACAUUCACAGUUACCUCUUUUUGAUGCUAUUUGGACAAUCUGCAGGGUAAUUUCUCAUGCUUUCGGGUGAGGGUAUCAGAUUUUGGCCCAGAGAUGCUGCGGAACGGAUGCAGUAUUUUUGCACACUGAGCUCACUCAGUCUGCCUCAUAAUCACGUUUGGUGAAAAGUUACUGUUCUUAAAAUAGUCCUUGCAGUAGCACAGUUGCUAUGAUACAGGGAAGGGGAGGGGGGAAAAAGUUCAUUGCCUACAUUUGAGCUCAUUUGUGAAGGCAGCCUGUACAUAAUCAUCGGUGUAUGAACCACUGCCCGCGUUGUCUGACAGGCAGCCCUUCCCCAGAGCUGUAAGUACAGAUAAACCCCAUCAGCUUCGUGCUCACAAAGGGGAGAAACAUCGAGGUGGGAGCUCCCUAAAUGUGCUCAAGGUAACUCUGCACGUUCCUCACAUGCUUGGGAAAGGCUGCUGGCAGCUGUGGCACGAUGGAACAGAGCCAUCCCUGCAGCCAGAGACAGGGCUGCUCCAGAGCUGGCCCGGGAGGGGCAGUGACUAGCGCAGGGAUGGCAGAUGCUCCUGCUGGAGGAUUUUGGAGACACAACAGCGAUGUUCUUGGGCAGCAAUGGUCAGCUUGUGCUUAGAUCAAAGUGGGUGUGCUGCUUUGUGUGCCAGUGGUAUUUUAGAGAGAGUCUGGGGACAGGACAAGGCACAGACCUUAGAUCCACAGGGAAGGAAAACACCAGUCCUCAGCACUCCAAGGUAACCUGGAGCAGGGCUGUGAUUUUGCUGGGAAUUAACCCCGCUGUGUGCCAGACCCUGCAGCAUGUAAUCUCUCAGGAGUUGAGCUGGUUCCCCAGAGUGAAGCUGCAUUUCAGGAGUUUUCUAAGGGCAGGUUGGCAUCUGCCCUGUGUGAGCAAAGCCAAGAGGAGAGAAGGCGACAGAUGUGGCCCAGGCCAUGCAGUGAAUGGGCAGCCAGGACUGGGGGUUGUGUGAGGAGAAAGGGUGACAUAGCCUGCCGGGUUAUCACCCACACAAGGACAGUGCAGUUCCCCCCUGGGCUGCUCCCAGAGCCCUGCAGAUCUGCAUCAGCCCCGAGGAGAGCUCAGAGCCUCACAGGCCCCUGCCAGGGCCACUGCCAAACACUGCUGACAGGCCAGGCUAUGGGGCUGAGUGGCACCCACUGCAAAUGCAUGGUGCUUCUCAGGCUGCAGCAUCAUCCCAGCUGGGCUAUUUAUGAAAGUGAGCCGGAAUCAGCUCCCUGGAAGUGAAGAUUCCCUGAUGGAAUAGAGGGAUUUGAGGAUUUACUCUACUCUUUUAGCACAGUAUUGCUGCUUUGACAAUUGCAACCUAACUGCGUAAACGAGGACUUAGCCUUGAAACUGCUGCCACUUCAGCUCAGUCCAAGUAGGGCACUAAUCAUUUACUGAGAAUUAUUUGGGUCAAUUUUUUUAUUCCAGCUAAUAAGCUGCUUCUACUAAUAUAAUAAAAUAACCCUGGAGAUUCACAACACUCAGUAAAGAAAAUAACUUGCAGGCAGCUGCAAUGUCCUUCAGCUGACUGUGAUCCAUUCUUCCCUUUCUGGGCACAGGGAGGCACUGGAAAUUUGUGUGAUGGUUAUAGGAGCUCCAGGCAGCUUUCCUGCAGACAGAGAUAGGGAAAUGCAUGUCUUCAAAUUCAUGGAUUAUAAGGAACUUCCCUGCUCCUCGUGGAGAUCAUGUGGAAAUGGCAAUUGGGAUGUUGUCCUUAACAUUGGGAGCUCAGUUAAUCUCACAGAACAGACACCCAGAUCUGUGUCUCCCUUGAGCAUCUGUCAGGGCUUUGGAGCACAAGAACAACGUUCUCUGUGAGUGUUUCUGACACUUUGUCAUUUUCCUUCCAUGACUUCUGGUUUGUACUCAGGAAAGUUUAAAAUGACCCCGCUAAAUGCUUCACUUUUCCACGGGAAUGAAAAGCAGGCAGACUCGUAACACGUUACAUCACAAACUUGGUUUAGUGGAAGAACAGCUGAAAAUAUCAGAUUAGGAUCAUUUGAUGGGAUUUGGAUCCAUAGGUUGGUCAUGUUGGCUGACUGCAUCUGUAUGUUGAAGUUUAUAUUUAUCCAGCUUGAGCUGGAUUUCUUGGCAGAAGGAUUUAGCUGGGUUUAGAGCAAUUACAUAAAACAUACGUACCAGUUCAGAUGCACCACGUGUAAACCAAGGGAAGACAGAGCUGCAUUCAAGAUGGGAGAGCAUCAAACACUAAACUACGUGGAUUGAUUGCAGCAGGGAGGAGCUUGAAGGAUGACAAGCCUUAAAUUCAAACACUGAGUUUUCCUUCUGUUUGUAUUGAAG